AUCCUUCAUGGAAGCUGUUCAGGGGUGCUCUAAGACCAUAACAUUCCAAACUGAUUUGCCUUGCACUGCUUGUGGUGGAAGUGGUGUGCCCCCUGGCACUAAACCUGAAACUUGUAGGCGCUGCAAAGGUUCAGGCGUGUCAAUCUCGCAAACUGGUCCUUUCACACUUCAGACGACUUGUCCUUCAUGCAAAGGAACAGGGAAAAUCGUAUCGAGUUUCUGCAAGUCUUGCAAAGGAAACCGUGUACUACGAGGACCAAAGACAGUGAAAGUGGAUAUCAUGCCUGGAGUUGACACUGACGAGACACUCAAGGUGUAUGGAAGUGGUGGAGCAGAUCCUGAAGGCAAUCGACCUGGAGAUCUUUACGUUGUUCUUAAGGUCAGAGAAGACCCUGUUUUCCGGAGAGAAGGCUCUGAUAUUCAUGUAGAUGCUGUUUUGAGUAUCACCCAGGCAAUCUUGGGAGGAACAAUCCAAGUCCCAACUCUGACAGGAGAUGUUGUUGUUAAGGUUCGUUCUGGCACUCAACCUGGCCAAAAGGUUGUCCUUAAAAAGAAAGGAAUAAAAGGACGGAAUUCCUACUCAUUUGGGGAUCAGUUUGUUCACUUCAAUGUCAGCAUUCCCACGAAUUUGACACCAAGACAGCGUCAAUUGAUUGAAGAGUUUGCCAAGGAGGAGCAAGGGGAGUAUGAUAAAGGGGCCGCAGCAGGAGCCUCGAGGUGAGGGCAUGGCACAGUGCUUACAAGGUAGGUUAGGGGAUAUAGGUUUGAGUCAAAAGUGUGUACUAUGACGUAUUCUUUCUCUCAUGAGCUGGGGAACUUAGCCAGAGCAAUUUUGGGGUUUGGUCAUUACCAUUUUAUCAGUUUCCUUUACAUUCGAGCGAGGAUUUAAUUGUUGCUUGAUGGAGGAGGGGACAGGUUGGUUAUAGUAUUAUUAUUGUGACAUUGAGAUAAUGUAGCACUUGAUCUGCAACUUAGUGUUGUAUAUAAAUAUGAUGAAACAAAUAAAUGUUUCUCAAGGGAAGUG
rnacentral:misc_RNA from 1 species